rnacentral:rRNA from 1 species
AGUCGAGCGGUAGCACAGAGAGCUUGCUCUCGGGUGACGAGCGGCGGACGGGUGAGUAAUGUCUGGGAAACUGCCUGAUGGAGGGGGAUAACUACUGGAAACGGUAGCUAAUACCGCAUAAUGUCGCAAGACCAAAGUGGGGGACCUUCGGGCCUCAUGCCAUCAGAUGUGCCCAGAUGGGAUUAGCUAGUAGGUGGGGUAACGGCUCACCUAGGCGACGAUCCCUAGCUGGUCUGAGAGGAUGACCAGCCACACUGGAACUGAGACACGGUCCAGACUCCUACGGGAGGCAGCAGUGGGGAAUAUUGCACAAUGGGCGCAAGCCUGAUGCAGCCAUGCCGCGUGUGUGAAGAAGGCCUUCGGGUUGUAAAGCACUUUCAGCGGGGAGGAAGGCGUUAAGGUUAAUAACCUUGGCGAUUGACGUUACCCGCAGAAGAAGCACCGGCUAACUCCGUGCCAGCAGCCGCGGUAAUACG